rnacentral:rRNA from 1 species
UACAGAGGAUGCAAGCGUUAUCCGGAAUGAUUGGGCGUAAAGCGUCUGUAGGUGGCUUUUUAAGUCCGCCGUCAAAUCCCAGGGCUCAACUCUGGACAGGCGGUGGAAACUACCAAGCUGGAGUACGGUAGGGGCAGAGGGAAUUCCGGUGGAGCGGUGAAAUGCGCGAGAUAUCAGGAGGAACACCGAUGGCGAAGGCAGCUCACUGGGACGGUACUGACGCUGAGGCGCGAAAGCGUGGGGAGCAAACAGG